CGGGAAGAGCUCAAAUUUAUAAUCUGGCACCUUCGGUGUCCGAGUUGUAAUCUCUAGAAGUGUUUUCCGCGUUGGACCGCACACAAGUCUGUUGGAAUACAGCGGCAUAGUGGUGAAACCCCCGUAUAUGGUGCGGACGCCCAGCGCUUUGUGAUACACUUUCAAUGAGUCGAGUUGUUUGGGAAUGCAGCUCAAAUUGGGUGGUAAAUUCCAUCUAAAGCUAAAUAUUGGCGAGAGACCGAUAGCGAACAAGUACCGUGAGGGAAAGAUGAAAAGCACUUUGGAAAGAGAGUUAACAGUACGUGAAAUUGUUGGAAGGGAAACGCUUGAAGUCAGACUUGCUUGCCGGAGCUUGCUUCGGUUUGCAGGCCAGCAUCAGUUUUCCGGGGUGGAUAAUGACGGUUUGAAGGUAGCAGUCUCGGCUGUGUUAUAGCUUUCCGUUGGAUACAUCCUGGGGGACUGAGGAACGC
rnacentral:rRNA from 1 species